UGCGCACGUUCUCUUGGGCCAUUUUCGAGGAAUCGAAUCUCCAUCCCGAGUGAUUUAUGAGUGCACCCAUCUGCCUGUUGUGGAGGACGUUCCCGUGGCUGCAACUAGUGCGUGCAAUAAACACUCCAUGAGUGUCCCAACUGGGGGCCACCACAUGAGCCAUGUGCGAGUCAAUGAGUGGGAGAGAUCCAAUGGUGCUCUUUGCCAAUUCCAGUGGAUCUGAUGGCUGUUGGGAAAAGUGCCAUUUGGAACUCGUUUUGUACCCUCCAUGUCUUUUAUCUCGUUCAAGCUAAAAGAAAUGAGACGUGAGAAUAUAAACAAUAAAUUUACCACAAUCCACAGAUAAAAAUUUGAUGUGGGAGCUUCCAACAGAUAAUUUCAUCUGAUCAACCAAUUAGUGACAAAUUCUGCCCAAGAGAUCUUCAACAGAACGUAGAGGCGUCUCAGGGCAUGUUUUUCACACUUGAGUCUCGUAAAACGCCAGGAUUUCGUGGCUCCUCUUCACUCUUCAUCUCAUCAUGUGUUUUGUUUACACCCACAGAAUUGGGAAUUCAGACGCACAAUUCAAUUACAAAUUGAGCUUAUUAAGAGGAGACCCAAGGAGGAUGUGUACUUUUUUUCCUAUAUUGAAUCAGAGUAGAGAUUGUGAAGGUGAAUAGUUUUAUAGAUUUGAUAAUAAUUGUUAAAAUUGACAUUAGUUCCAAUAUAAAACUCGCUGAUAGACCCGGUGGGGGACUGUACAUUUUACUGCUCGAACUCAAAGAGAGUGUAGUUAUACAAUCCGCUCUUUUUCAA